UCUCCUAGAAUCAGGAGCUCUCUACUCUCCCAGAGUAGCACCAGAAGUGUUCUGAACCCUAUGCCAGAAUCCUGUUACUCUUGUCUAUACCAGAGGGAUAAUUUGAACUCAAGUUUUCUUGAUUCUUUUUACCAGUCAACAUUUACUCAAAAAAAUAUUGUCACAACACCUAGUGUUCCACUUUAAGGUUUCUAAAGGACUAUUUCAUUUGAUCAUCAUAAUCACAACAUGAAAUAGCAUUGAUCUAGAGAGGAAUUCACCAGUACAGCAUGGAACAGAACUUAGAACAUCUGCUUUUGGGGAGUAUAAG